UCUCUGGGCUUGCCCUAGGGUUUCCGAACAGAAGCCCCGCAGCUAGAGAUUCAAGCCCUGUACCUCCUCAUCAGUGUGCCAGGGCUGAAUGCCAGGAUGGGUGCCCAUCCCAGGGAAAAUGGCUUCAGUUUUAAACACCUGUCAUCUAAGCUCUUCCCCCUGCCCUCGUAAAAUCUGCCCGUUUGCUCUACAGACACCUCUUUUGUCAAAUCUUAAUUAGUACCUGGGUGGCUGAGCCGUCCAUCCUCCAGAAAGUACCCCCCCCACCCCAUCCCAUACCAACCCCACCUUCCAUGUAUUUCCACACUGACCAGUCAUCUUCACCGGUGUCCGGGAUUCCCCCAUGAUCAUGGAAUUUCACAGGAUUCAUGAUGUGCCAGAGCCCAGGGAAGACUUGAAACAAAUAGGAGGCAAGAACAGCUCCUUGAGGACCAACAUCACCAUCUCUUCUGCUUUGGAAAUGAACCAGAAGUAUUUAUCCCGUGGCCCUGGUACGUCAGCCUUUCACUUUACGGACCCGAACCGUGGGACGUUGAAGUCCAGCUAGGGGGAAACCAGACACACAAGGGAAAUGAUGAGGGAGGAAGGCGGGUCUGGACCUUGAAUGCUUGCUGUGCGCCAGGCACUAUGUCCUGCAUUUCAUGUCACGUCUGUCUCAUUUUAAUCCUCCACAGAGUUACGAGUGGGAAGUCUUUGCCUCUUUUUGGUAAAGAUGUGAAUAUUGAUUAGCAAGAAUCAACCCAAGUGCAUGGGCAUCAAACCCACAUAGGCGGUGACUGUUAGAAUAACCCUGCCACCACCCCCACCCCGCCUUGUGACCUUCCUGAUAACCUUGGGAAGCAAGGGCGGACCUACUGUUAACACUGUUUUAUGUAUUAGGAAAAUACGACCCAGGAAAUACUGGAUCAUUCACGUACACACUCGAUGUCAGACAGUAAGUCAGUUCUUAAACCCACUGAGGUGUUUUGGCUGUUGAUCUGAUAAUCAGACAUUCAGAUGCCGUUUAGAUAUUCAUAUUAUCAGGAAGUAACUCUCAGGAUGGUGUCCCUGCACUGCGGGUGGCUUUGACUUUGAUGCGGGGUUUUGGAAUGCUACGUUUCGUGUGAGAUAUGGGGGCCCUUUGGUCACAAUGGUGUCAGCCAUCGUCUGACAGUAGUGGACCCAGCAUGGGUUUGGGGGUCAGAAGAUAGAAUCCUGGCCCUGGCUCUGCCACAGACUGGCUGGAUGACCUUGGGGACUUGAUUCUUCCUGGUCCUAUGUUUCUCCUCCGCCAAUAGAAGACACCGUGCUUCAUGAUUUCUGAGACUUGUUAAAAAAUCUGAUGCUGUGCAUCAGAAUCGCUGAAUGGCCCCGAGGCACUGGUAAGAAGCCCAGAGGCAUAUGGAGGCGGAGAUUUGUCCCCUGUCAUCUCAGCAAGAAGGGAAUCCCCCACCAUGGGAAAUGCCUCUUAUGGCUCCAAUUGCAUGGCACAGACAUGAUGAGGCAGCCAAGUCCUCAUUAAUGUCAUGAUUACAGUGACAAGUCUGCUGGGGGCCUGAAGGCACCCGAUUUGCCCUCCGAGUACUUGCAAGUGGAAAUCCUUCAUGCACUCUCUGGCCACAGAACAGAGAGUCCUAGAACAAAGCCUGUUUUGGUCUUUUGUCUUGGCGCGGGGUGAGACCGUAUCUCCAGCAUAAACUACGCUGCUUAUAUUGUUUUCAUGCCCUCAGUAAAAAAGGAAAACACAACCAAGUGGUUUGGUUAGUUUUGGCAUGCACAACUCAGGGUGGGAAAUUCCCUCCGAUUCUGGCUGAUCACCCAGUAUUUAAUUUUUAAAAUCAGUGUGUCAGUUUCAAAAUACCAGAAGUUCUUGCUGAAGGGUAUUCACAAAGAAUGGGACAUCCUGGUGUUUGGAAAAAACAUUCCAGUUCGUUGGCAUCACAGCACUUACUGUAAUGUCAGCGAUAAGAGCAGUGACCACACGGCGGGGUAGGUCCCUAGGGACUCCCUGGGGGAAGCCUCUCCAUUUAUGGUGAAGACGUGGAGAGCUGAUGUGUGAACGUGGACAGCUUGUGCCUGGGGUAGCACCUCCGAGGUGUCACGGGGUUGAGAUCAGCAAGCCCCAAGGAACUGCCUUCAGCCUCAGGGGCCAUGGGUCCUUGCCCACCAGUUAUCCCAUCUAGUUUUGAAGUCCACUGUCUGCUCUUGGGCAGACCUUGGGCCUAGCUUUGGGAAGCUUCUGACUUGCUGGUUUGAGGUGCACCAACUUGGGGGGCCUCUACGUUCUGCUUCCCAAGUUAGAGCCUAUGACUUGGUACCUUGCCUGACAAUGGUCUGGUCCCCGGCAACCCCCACUUGGGGCCACAGACAUCAUGCAUCGGGAUCCACGGGGCACUGGCUAAAAGUUCAGCACUCAGCCCCACCCUGGACGUAGCGAAUCCGACCCUGCAUUUUAACAGGAACCCCGGGGUGAUUCAUUUGCACGUUUCAGUUUUCCAAGCCCCGUGCUGGAAUACCUUCAAUAGAGGCAUACCAUCCUGUACACCCAUGAGACAGAUUAACCAUCUGCUUAGUUUGGUUGUAAGAAGACUUAAUUCAGGAAGCUUGAUGGGUACAAUCAGAACUUCGCCUAGAUAUAGAUAGAUAGAGAGAGAGAGAGAGCGAUGAUGGAGAUAGAGAUAGAGAGGUAGAGAUAGAGAUCUCCUACGUAUAUGCACACACAUACAUAAAAAAGUCAUCCAUGAUCGUUUUUCCAUAUGCUUUCUGAAAUAGCACAAUUAAUACCAGACAGAGUGUGCUAAAAGUCUUUCUGGUAGCAGCUCUGAAAAGUAUUUUGCCGAGGGCAGGACAGCAAGGAAUCUUCUGCACAAUCAGACGCCAUAAACCAAAUGGGAGUCCAGAUGGCCAGCAACCUCUGCUUUCCUCUCUGCUUUCUUCAGGUUUCUCUGCCAACUCGAGAGCACACGUAGGGGCACGUUGAAAUGACCCAGGUCCUUCUGGAGUUCCCAAAUGUGGCUCGCGCGCAGUGGGCGGGGCCGGCUGAGACCCAGAGGCCACGGGAAUUGCUGCAGGAGGAGGUGCUGAGGGGCCGGGGUUGUUUCUGAGGUUGCUAUGCAGCAGCUUCAGCAUGCUCGAAGCUGGACGUUUCAUUCCUUCUUGGAAGACGAGGUCAUAAUUCAGUUGCAGUCAUCAUUUUCCAGUUCCUCUCUAAUAUUUAUGUGAAAACGCCAUUACUUGGCUUCCUUGAUGCCCGUAAAUGUCAUCACCCUGGGGCGCCUGGGUGGCUCAGUCGGUUGAGCGUCCACUCUCGGCUCAGGUCACGAUCUCAUGGUUCGUGGGUUCGAGCCACACGUCAGGCUCUGUGCUGACAGCUCGGAGUCUGGAGCCCGCUUUGGAUUCUGUGUCUCCCUCUCAAUGCCCCUCCCCCACUCAUGCUCUGUCUCUCUCUCUCAGAAAUAAAUACGCAUUAAAAAAAAAUUUAAAUGUCAUCACUCUGAAACUUUCUAAAAGUAAAAUACACACACACACACACACACACACACACACACGCACCUAUACAUACACACAACACCUGAGUUCAACAAUGCCGAUGGCUCCCAACUUUUUUUACACACUAAACACCUACCUGCUUACCUUCUUCUUUUGAUAUUCCCUGAUUUAAAUCGUGGUCCUGCAAGGUCUGGGGUCCCCUCGGUGACCUGUACUUGCCUGCAUUGAAGAGAUCUCGUCUGAUGAAGUGACAUAGUCAUAAGCCAAGGAGACUGUACCCUUUCCUCUCGCCUGUGGGGUUUGGAGAGUGAGAAUUGCCUCCCCUCCCCCGCUUUGUGGGACUCAUGCUUCAUUGUUUGUCUGUGUACAGAAUUCCGAUGCUGCUGUCAUGAAUUGCCACCGAUUUAGUGGCUUACAACAAUGUGUUAUCUCCUGAUUCUCAAGGUCCAAAGCCUAAAAUCUGUCUCACCAGGCUGAAGUCAAAGUAUCACAGGGAUGGCUCCUCCUGGAGGUGCUAGAGGAGAACCACUCCCGGCCUCUUUCCACUUCUAGAGGCUUCCAGCACUCCUGGGCUCACGGCUGCACCCUCUGACCUCUGCUUCAUCAUCACGCGUCUCAAGAUACAGACCGUCCGGUCUCCCUCUCAGGAAGACCGUGGUGAUUACAUUGGGCCUCACCAGAUAAUUGAAGAUAAUCUACCAAACUAAAGAUCCUUAACUGAAUCAUAUCUGCAAAGUCCCUUUAGCCAUAUAAGACAACAUAGGCUUCGGUUCUGGGGAUUAGGAUGGGGCGUCUUUUUUUUUUUUUCUUUUAAAAAAAAUUUUUUUUUUUUAACGUUUAUUUUUGAGACAGAGAGAGACAGAGCAUGAAGGGGGGAGGGGCAGAGAGAGAAGGAGACACAGAAUCGGAAGCAGGCUCCAGGCUCUGAGCCCUCAGCCCAGAGCCCGAUGCGGGGCUCGAACUCACGGACCGCGAGAUCGUGACCUGAGCUGAAGUCGGACGCUUAACCGACUGCGCCACCCAGGAGCCCCUGGAUGGGGCGUCUCUAAGGGGUCAUUCAUUAUUCCAUCUACUACAGCCUGAAAAGCAGAACGACUGCAAUUGCGACCCUUCAACAUCUUCGACCAGCGAAGGUGGAUACUUACUUAUCACCCAUGGCUUGAGCUGCCGGGAAUCACACUACAUGACGAUUCCCAGACACCUCGGACGGGGAGGUAGAACCACACUUUUGAUAGACUUUAGAGAUGUGUUUUUCCUGGAAUGGGGCAAUUCGGGAAAAUGAGAAGGUAUAUAUAUGAAACA